CCUUCUCUCUUUUCUGUUCUUUUCUCCUCUCUUCGUUCACUUUCUCUUUUUCUUUGUUCUUUCUCAUCUCCACAGAUAGCCUUCGAUUUCCUUCGAGCUCCAAUACUUUAGCAGUAAGGUGGAAUUCAACAUGUAUUUUUAGGGUUUUAAUUUCAAAAACAAACUACAGGUUUUUCAUGUCAAAUUUGACCAUGAAAACUCUAGAUCUAGAGUUUUCAUGGUCGAAUUUGACCUAUAAAACACAAAUUCAAGCUAAUUUCGGGGUUUUGGUGGAAUUCAAGGCGAAUCGUGAUGGGUGAGGUGGUUUUGGUGGGGGUCGAGAUGGGUGAGAUGGUUUUGGUGGGGGUCGUGAUGGGUGAAUUGAUGUUUCUUUAAUUCUGUGAUUGUUGUCAUGUAUUAUUACUCCGUAUUUGAUUUGAAUUUUAUAAUUUAUAAUUGAAAAUGUACCCUUUGAUUAAUUUUUUCUCAUUUUUUUGGAGUUAUUUGUUUUUUUGUUUGGUGUUGAUGAAUCUGGUGAUACGUAAAAGGGGGAUGUCCUGGUGUCUUGUUGGUGGUGCGCGUGGCUAAGGGUGGGUGUUUGUUGGUGCGCGUGGCUUAGGGUCGGUGGCGGCAGUGUGGCUGAAGUCUGGUGGUUGCACAAGAGCAGCAACAAUUUAAAUUAGAAUGUAUUUUUUUUUAUGAAGGUGUAAUAUUAAAACAAGUGAUUAAUGAAAAUAUUUAUGUUUAUACA